GGGGAAUAUUGCACAAUGGGGGAAACCCUGAUGCAGCGACGCCGCGUGGAGGAAGAAGGUCUUCGGAUUGUAAACUCCUGUUGUUGAGGAAGAUAAUGACGGUACUCAACAAGGAAGUGACGGCUAACUACGUGCCAGCAGCCGCGGUAAAACGUAGGUCACAAGCGUUGUCCGGAAUUACUGGGUGUAAAGGGAGCGCAGGCGGGAAGACAAGUUGGAAGUGAAAUCUAUGGGCUCAACCCAUAAACUGCUUUCAAAACUGUUUUUCUUGAGUAGUGCAGAGGUAGGCGGAAUUCCCGGUGUAGCGGUGGAAUGCGUAGAUAUCGGGAGGAACACCAGUGGCGAAGGCGGCCUACUGGGCACCAACUGACGCUGAGGCUCGAAAGUGUGGGUAGCAAACAGGAUUAGAUACCCUGGUAGUCCACACCGUAAACGAUGAUUACUAGGUGUUGGAGGAUUGACCCCUUCAGUGCCGCAGUUAACACAAUAAGUAAUCCACCUGGGGAGUACGACCGCAAGGUUGAAACUCAAAGGAAUUGACGGGGGCCCGCACAAGCAGUGGAGUAUGUGGUUUAAUUCGACGCAACGCGAAGAACCUUACCAAGUCUUGACAUCCCUUGACAGACAUAGAAAUAUGUAUUCUCUUCGGAGCAAGGAGACAGGUGGUGCAUGGUUGUCGUCAGCUCGUGUCGUGAGAUGUUGGGUUAAGUCCCGCAACGAGCGCAACCCUUAUGGUCAGUUACUACGCAAGAGGACUCUGGCCAGACUGCCGUUGACAAAACGGAGGAAGGUGGGGAUGACGUCAAAUCAUCAUGCCCCUUAUGACUUGGGCUACACACGUGCUACAAUGGCGUAAACAAAGGGAAGCGGAGCCGUGAGGCCGAGCAAAUCUCAAAAAUAACGUCUCAGUUCGGACUGUAGUCUGCAACCCGACUACACGAAGCUGGAAUCGCUAGUAAUCGCAGAUCAGAAUGCUGCGGUGAAUACGUUCCCG
rnacentral:rRNA from 1 species